UGUUGUGUCUUCUCUGCACCAGGUGCAGUGAACACAUCACGCCUGUUCUGUCAUCUCUGCACUGGCUUCCAGUCAGUUAUUGCAUUGAUUUUAAAAUCUUGGUCAUUGUAUUUAAAUGCCUGAAUGGUUUGGCCCAACCUUAUCUAUCUGAGC